rnacentral:lncRNA from 1 species
CCAUCGUGGCUUUAUCUUUUUUUUAUUUUUAUUUUUUUCCCCGCUUCGCCGCUUGGGGCGGCAAAAAAGCUGGAGCCGGCCCUGGGUGGACAGUUCGUGCCCAAGGACGGAAUGCCGGGACGUGGCAAUGGUGGUAAUGAGCAAACAGCACUGCCGAAACAGCCCGGCUGUCGUGGGCGGAUUGGAUCAGUGGCGUCCCCAGAUGGAUCUGCCCAGCUCAACCCUCCCUUGGCUCCCUGGCAGGAUGGUGGGAAGUCGCUUGGAGCCCAAGCACAGCUCCUGUGACUCGUUACUUCGUAGAAAGACCCUUUGA